UAUAGCUUUUUGUUAUUCAAGGUAGCAUAAAUGGCGGUGGUCUUGAGAAAUUUUACAGCUUUAAAAAAGGUUUCACGUUAAAGAGAUUCUUGUCAAAAAGUGUCUAAAUUGUCAAGAACGGUAUUCGAAAAUCAGUUUUCCAAGGUCAAAAACACCAGUUUUGAACCAUGAGUAAUGCAAUCAGUCAAAGUCUUCCCUUUGCUCGACAGAGUUCUCAACAACGAAGAAGUCCAGGCUUUAUACUUUUUCAAAGACAGCGGCAAUAUUUUAUCACAAGAGUUUAUCUUCUGGCAAUAGUUUUUGUAGGAUUGACAGUUCUUCAAUGGAUUUCUAUUCUGUCAAAUCCAGAAGUUGUGGAUUUCUUCAGAGACAAAUACUAUAUCUCAUUGAUGUCAGGAGUAUCAGCUUUAUUGCUUUUUACAUCUUUUGCAAUUGUUUUCGAAAUACGAUACAUGGAACCGUAUAAUUGGAUUGUUGCCUAUUUAAUAGUUGAACUUGAGACUUUGGCGCUAGUUCGUGCGCCUUUGGAUUCGGAUUUGAAGAAUUUUGGAAUUUGUUUUCUUGCUACUAUUCUUAUCAAUGGUGUAUUUAGAUUUAUUGGCGUUCUAAUUCCAUGGGACUUAACUCAGGAAAUAAUAACCUUAAUGGUUGUCAGUUUAAUUUUCUAUGUUGCUGCAUCAAUUAUUUUAAUUUUACUUAUUUUGACGGAGUUGUACUAUCUUAGGUUAUUUCUGUUGAUUGGAACAAUAAUUUUGUUAAUAGUGGUAAGUUGUUGAUGAAUAACAUUUUGACAUAACUGACUGUUAAUUUUUUGUUAAAGUAUAUAAUGUAUGUGUCGCAGUUGGUAAAAGGAGACAGAGCUGGAUCUUUAAGAUGGAAUGAUUUUAUUUUGGCAGCUUUGAUGGUGUAUUUUAAUUUUAUGUUAAUAUUUAGUUCAAUAUUGCAUUUAUGGA